ACGUAGGGAGCGAGCGUUGUCCGGAUUUACUGGGUGUAAAGGGUGCGUAGGCGGGCCCGCAAGUCAGACGUGAAAGCCACAGGCUCAACCUGUGAAUUGCGUUUGAAACUGUGGGUCUUGAGUGAAGUAGAGGUAGGCGGAAUUCCCGGUGUAGCGGUGAAAUGCGUAGAGAUCGGGAGGAACACCAGUGGCGAAGGCGGCCUGCUGGGCUUUAACUGACGCUGAGGCACGAAAGCGUGGGUAGCAAACAG
rnacentral:rRNA from 1 species